UACGUAGGGUGCAAGCGUUGUCCGGAAUUAUUGGGCGUAAAGAGCUCGUAGGCGGUUUGUUGCGUCGGCUGUGAAAUCCCGAGGCUCAACCCCGGACUUGCAGUGGGUACGGGCAGACUAGAGUGUGGUAGGGGAGACUGGAAUUCCUGGUGUAGCGGUGAAAUGCGCAGAUAUCAGGAGGAACACCGAUGGCGAAGGCAGGUCUCUGGGCCACUACUGACGCUGAGAAGCGAAAGCAUGGGGAGCGAACAGG
rnacentral:rRNA from 1 species